ACAGAGGGUGCGAGCGUUAAUCGGAUUUACUGGGCGUAAAGCGUGCGUAGGCGGCUUUUUAAGUCGGAUGUGAAAUCCCUGAGCUUAACUUAGGAAUUGCAUUCGAUACUGGGAAGCUAGAGUAUGGGAGAGGAUGGUAGAAUUCCAGGUGUAGCGGUGAAAUGCGUAGAGAUCUGGAGGAAUACCGAUGGCGAAGGCAGCCAUCUGGACAGUGACUGACGCUGAAAUGCGAAAGCGUGGGGAGCAAACAG
rnacentral:rRNA from 1 species